UACGUAGGGGGCGAGCGUUGUCCGGAAUUAUUGGGCGUAAAGAGCUCGUAGGCGGUUCGGCAAGUCACGUGUGAAAUCUCCACGCUCAACGUGGAGUCGCCACGUGAGACUGCCGUGACUCGAGUCCGGUAGGGGAGCGUGGAAUUCCCGGUGUAGCGGUGAAAUGCGCAGAGAUCGGGAGGAACACCCGUAGCGAAGGCGGCGCUCUGGGCCGGUACUGACGCUGAGGAGCGAAAGCGUGGGGAGCAAACAGG
rnacentral:rRNA from 1 species